UACGGAGGGUGCAAGCGUUAAUCGGAAUUACUGGGCGUAAAGCGCACGCAGGUGGCUGAGUCAGUCGAUUGUGAAAGCCCUGGGCUUAACCUGGGAAUUGCAGUCGAUACUACUCAGCUAGAGUAUGGGAGAGGGCAGUGGAAUUCCCGGUGUAGCGGUGAAAUGCGUAGAUAUCGGGAGGAACAUCAGUGGCGAAGGCGGCUGCCUGGCCCAAUACUGACACUCAGGUGCGACAGCGUGGGGAGCAAACAGG
rnacentral:rRNA from 2 species